rnacentral:rRNA from 1 species
AAUGAACGUUGGCGGCGUGGAUUAGGCAUGCAAGUCGAGCGAGAAGAGUUUGGUAGCUUGCUAUUGAACUCGGAAAGCGGCGAAAGGGAGAGUAACGCGUAGUUACGUGCCCCAGGGUUCGGAAUAGCCACGGGAAACUGUGGGUAAUGCCGAAUAACAUCUCCGGAUCAAAGGUGUGAUUCCGCCCUGGGAGCGGACUGCGUCCUACUAGCUAGUUGGCGGGGUAAUGGCCCACCAAGGCAACAAUGGGUAGCAGGUGUGAGAGCAUGACCCGUCUCACUGGGACUGAGACACUGCCCAGACACCUACGGGUGGCUGCAGUCGAGGAUCUUCGGCAAUGGGCGAAAGCCUGACCGAGCGACGCCGCGUGCGGGAUGAAGGCCCUCGGGUUGUAAACCGCUGUCGUAGGGGAGGAAGGCUCCAUGAAGAAUGGGGUUUGACCUAUCCUAGGAGGAAGUACGGGCUAAGUUCGUGCCAGCCGCCGCAGUAA